rnacentral:lncRNA from 10 species
GCCUGGCUGGCUUGGCUGGCAUGCCUGGCUUUGCUGGCUGGCUGGCUUUGCUGGCUUGGCUGCCUGGCUGGCUUGGCUGGCCUGCCUGGCUUGGCUGGCUGGCUGGCUUGGCUGGCUUGGCUCGCUGGCUGGCUGGCUGGCCUGGCUGGCUGGGUGGCUUGCUGGCUUGGCUGGCUUGGCUGGCUUGUUUGCUUGGCUGGCUUGGCUGG